UGCAAAACAGCUCUCCAGGGUGACUGGUUUUUAUCCAAAAAGCCUGCAGUACAGCUGGUUGGAGGGAGCUAGCCCCUUUUAACCCUCCCACAAAACUGGCAUUUCUCAGCAGGUCUGUGGAUCCUGCUUUCCAGCUGGAUUUCAUGGGAGAGGAGAGCAGCCAGCAUCCCCUGAUGACACCAAACCCCUUCCCAAGAUUUUUUCUUCUGCCACAGCGCUGCCAUGAGCAGGAGUUUGUUGUGAGCAUCCCAACACACCUCUCAGCCAGCUCCUUCCUUGGCAGCACUGGAUUUCCUGAAGGUUGGAUCCACCUCUGUCUCUUGCUCUUCCCUUCCCUCUGCCCUUUCUGAGGAUGUUCCUGGCAGAAUAUGGGGAUGGGAAUCCACACUUUGCACUUGCUGCCAUUCCUGAAUCUGAAGAGAACUCAUGAAGAAGCAAGCACAAUAAUUUAUUGGUUCAAUUAAUAUGUCCAGAACUGAUUUCCUGCACUGACCAUAGCUUAAUGAAUAAUGUUCCCAGCAAAGUUUGCAGGUACAGCUCCAAACUGUGAUGGUCCUGUGGAGCACUGGCAGCAGUAAAACAUCCAACUGCUGGAUCCCUGGCUCCCUCUUGGUGUCUCCCCUUCCCUGCAUCCCAGUCUGAAUGGGUCUCUGGGAUGAAUCAUACUCUUUUGCUGCUCAACACCAUUUUUAUUGGAAAGGAUUUACCAGCUGUGCAAUAGUGAGACUGGAAUGGUGUG